UACGGGGGGAGCAAGCGUUGUUCGGAUUUACUGGGCGUAAAGGGCGCGUAGGCGGCCACCGCAAGUCGGUUGUGAAAUCUCCGGGCUUAACUCGGAAAGGUCAACUGAUACUGUGCGACUAGAGUGCAGAAGGGGCAACUGGAAUUCUCGGUGUAGCGGUGAAAUGCGUAGAUAUCGAGAGGAACACCUGCGGCGAAGGCGGGUUGCUGGGCUGACACUGACGCUGAUGCGCGAAAGCCAGGGGAGCGAACGGG
rnacentral:rRNA from 1 species